rnacentral:rRNA from 1 species
AUUGAACGCUGGCGGCAGGCCUAACACGUGCAAGUCGAGCGGAUGAAGGGAGCUUGCUCCUGGAUUCAGCGGCGGACGGGUGAGUAAUGCCUAGGAAUCUGCCUGGUAGUGGGGGAUAACGUCCGGAAACGGGCGCUAAUACCGCAUACGUCCUGAGGGAGAAAGUGGGGGAUCUUCGGACCUCACGCUAUCAGAUGAGCCUAGGUCGGAUUAGCUAGUUGGUGGGGUAAAGGCCUACCAAGGCGACGAUCCGUAACUGGACUGAGAGGAUGAUCAGUCACACUGGAACUGAGACACGGUCCAGACUCCUACGGGAGGCAGCAGUGGGGAAUAUUGGACAAUGGGCGAAAGCCUGAUCCAGCCAUGCCGCGUGUGUGAAGAAGGUCUUCGGAUUGUAAAGCACUUUAAGUUGGGAGGAAGGGCAGUAAGUUAAUACCUUGCUGUUUUGACGUUACCAACAGAAUAAGCACCGGCUAACUUCGUG